rnacentral:ncRNA from 2 species
GACACGAACAAUGCUGAUGGUUCCCCAAGCUUCAAGCGACGGGAAAAAAGGGAAUUCGGUGCGAGCUGACGCUCAACUCCGAGACUGCCCCCGCAACUGUAAGCGGCGCGCAAACCGUAAAGGCCACUGAACCGACAAGGUUUGGGAAGGCACGGUAAGCACCAAGCCGCAAGUCAGGAGACCUGCCAUCUUCAAACGCAACCC